AACGAGAGGGAGACCACUGCGGUGCUGAAGCUGCUCACAUACACGGCGCGCCGGUUCCCCGGGGUCUUUUUCAACGGUCGCCCUCCGAGGUCGUCCGCGUCAUCGGCCGCAUCCUCCCCUUCUUCCCAGACCCCGACUACCAGUUCUCUCAUGGAUCCCUUGGAUCUGCAAGCAGGCAACCAAGAAAUGUUUGUUUUCCUUUGACGUAUUACUAUAUUUCAAAGCUCUUCAGACUGUAAUGCUUCUCCGAUGUCUGGAGACACUAAACUAUUUGAAGAUGAAGCUCGGUUGAUUGGUGACUGUGGUGAAGACUAUGCUUAUCCUGCUUAUGUUUAUCUCAUCAGUUUGCUGAAACGGAUGUGGUCUGAUGGUCAUUCCACUGAAGCAUGUUUGGACUGGAAGUUAAAAUGCCUUAUGGUACAAUUUAUUGCCAAGAUUGACGAUAGACUGAAUACCGAAUGUUACCUUGAAGUCCUUGAACUGGCUAUCCAUAGUGAAUAUGCUGAGGUUCAAAAUGAAGCCCUUAUGUCACUACCCAUUAUUGUCCUGUACUCUGGUGAUGUUCAAGAAACUUGAGUUGUUUGGCGAUUUAGGACCUGAGAAAGUGUGGAAAUGCCUUGCCUUUUCACUUGGUUUCCUCUCUUGUUUAAAUGGAACCACUAAUGUUACUGACAAAGCAGGGAGCAGUUGCAAGCUGUUCUUGGACAAGCACUCAAAACAACCAGUCUCAACAUUACAUCUUCUCUUAAAAGGUUUCUGUUGCCCUCAGUGUGAUAUCAAAACUGUCCAUACUAUUUCUACUGUGGACUGCAAGCUGAGAUUGUUGACUUCAAAAAUAACAUGUUGAAGGCCCACAUACUUUUCUUCAAGUUCCUCUAUGCGCAGACUUCCAGAGAAUGUAUCAUUUCUAUGGUUGAAGUUUUGCCACGAGUAUUGAGACAUUCUAGCAGGGAGGUUCUGCUUGAGAUGAGAAUUAAGUGACAUUCUGUUCUCAGAUGAAGUGGGUAUGGAGGGGGGCACCAAAGAAGUCAACUUCAUGGACAAAAUAAAGCAUGCUUUUGCACAAGCUGAAGAUUCUCACGUUCUAAUGACUCUUUUGGAAUCAACUGCUGCAGUUAUGCAAGCCAGUGAUACUCAAGGAGAAGUUUUUUUCUGCUCAUUUGUAUUGCUUAUUGCUCAGCUUGAUAACCCCGAUCCCAUCGUAAGGAAGACCUCAUCGAGAUUAAUUCACAGAGGCUGCACUUACUGUUUCAAAGGAGGAAUAGAACUUUUCCUCUCGAAGAACUUCCGUGUUAGAGAUAAUUUAUAUGAUUACGUUUCAUCUAGACUUUUGAGUCAUCCUGCAGUGGUCAGUGAAUUUGCUGAGGCUGUUCUUGGGAUUAAGACUGCAGAGCUGAUUAGGAGGAUGGUUCCAUCAGUCAUACCAAAGCUGAACCAGCUGCAUGGUUUCGUGCCAGAUUGGCUGAUGCACAUACUGCUGCAGUCUGGUUGAUGGUUGGGCACAUUGUUGGGCUUGGUGACAGGCAUGGUGAAAACAUCCUUAUUGACUCGACAACCGGGGACUGUGUCCAUGUGGAUUUCAGUUGCCUGUUUUAGAAGGGGUUGCUGCUUGAGAAGCCCAAGGUGGUGCCGUUUAGGCUUACACAAGUAAGCAAGCAUGAUUGAUGGCUUGGGCAUCGCUGGGUAUGAAGGCAUCUUUCUAAAGGUAUGUGAGAUCACUCUGUCGGUCCUCAGGGGUCACAAGGAGGUGCUCAUGACCGUCCUCGAGACCUUCAUCCACGACGCACUGGUGGACCAAAACCAGCAAAUCCAGCGGAGGGCCAUCACUAACAUCACGGCAAGGCUCCAGGGAGUCUCGUGGUGGGUGUCAACGCGGCCCCCUCCCUGCCACUCUCCGUGGAAGGCCAGGCGCGCCGCCUGAUUGCUGAAGUGGUCUCCCACAAAAACCUCGGCAAGAUGUACAUCUGGUGGAUGCCCUGGUUCUAACACUCUAACAGUAGCUGGUCUGGAGCAAGCACUUUGAGUGGCGCAUACGGGCUUCACACGUCUCUGCAGUCGGGAGGAUACUCCUAACCUCGAUGACGCAGCUUAGUUUCAACAUGUUUGGCUUCUGUGCUGCCAUGGUUGGCUCCUCGCCACAUCCACCACCAUCUUAUCGCUGCUGCUUUACUGCAUUAACACAGUGUACUACAUGGCAUCCUUUGCCAACAUGAUACCUGACAUGAAGAGGUGGAUGCGGCAUGCUGCUCAUGUCGCUGUCGCAUGGCGGCUAGUUCACCCAUGUCGGUUGCCAAGAAGAAUUUAUGUAUUGUAGCAGGAUUUCUGCAGAGCACAGAAUAUGCAGCUGAUAUCAUUUUGACUCUGCUUUGCACAAAGUUGCAGACUGAUUCCCUUAAGGAGGUCAUUGCCCAGGUCGUGGCGGAUGCCAAGGAGAAGAACAUUAAGUUCACCGAGGCCAUCCGUUGAGUUCCUGAUCAGGCUCAAGAACCAUGACCAGCAGAAAGGCAAGCGGCACCGUCAGGCUGGCUGAAGAUAAGGGUCUGCAUGCUCAAAGACCACAAUAAAGUGAUGGAUAGAUGAGCUUCUUUGACGAAGGGGUUGUCGGAUGUGACAGCUGAAGCGGUACAUGGAGGAGCAGACUGCCGUGGCUCGUGAAUGCGAGAAGUGGAUGCAUGCUGCCCUGAUGCGGCAGCCGCAAGGGAGAAGUGGAGCCGAAGCAGUAUGCCCCUUAUGUGGGCCUGCAGGGAGGCUUGGGCGUCGGAUGAGCCGGACAUGCUUUUUUUGUUUUAGCUGUGCUUGGUCCUUGAUACCCCGAGAGACGUUUCUCUGAUGUGAGUAUGUGCUGAACAAGAUUAGUAGCGGCAUACAGCCAUGGAUGUGUGGUGAGCAAGCUUACUAGUAAAACACUCGUUGUGCCGUCGAAACUGAAGUUAUUUUGCUGUAGCUGAUGUCAUGAUGUGCAUGUUAGUUUGCUGGCCUUGGCUGCCGGCCGGAAACUAGUUGCUAGCUGGUGCUGUUGGAAAUAGAUCUGC